UACGUAGGGGGCAAGCGUUGUCCGGAGUUAUUGGGCGUAAAGAGCGUGUAGGCGGCUUUACAGGUCCGUUGUGAAAACUCGAGGCUCAACCUCGAGACGCCGGUGGAAACCGUAAGGCUAGAGUCCGGAAGAGGAGAGUGGAAUUCCUGGUGUAGCGGUGAAAUGCGCAGAUAUCAGGAGGAACACCCGUGGCGAAAGCGGCUCUCUGGGACGGUACUGACGCUGAGACGCGAAAGCGUGGGGAGCAAACAGG
rnacentral:rRNA from 1 species